UAUAAAAUUCAAUUAAGUAUAAAAUAUAAAGUAUAAUUAUAAAAUUCAAUUAAGUAUAAAAUAUAAAGUUUAAUUAUAAAAUUCAAUUGUAUAAUCACAUGUUUCUUAUUUGUUUUGGACCAAUUUAAUUUGAAUAUUAAUUUAUAUCUUAUGUUCUUAUAUUUUACUUUAGAUUAUAAUGUUUUGAUCUACAAAAUGCUUUUUAAAAAUUUCAAUAUUUGCUUUUGACCACACAAUGGGAAAUAUUUACGUACUGCAUCACAAUAAUAUGUUAUAUAGAUUUCGAUGUACAAAUACUAUGCUAGGGCAUGUAUUUAAACAAAAACGUAAAUGUACAUAAUGUUAUAAUGUUCUUAACGAAAGUCUUGUAAGAAUUUGUUAUAUUUAUUAAAGUUAGCUACGGUGUGAAACACUUUUGUUUUUGUCGGGCCACGGUGGCUAAGUAGGUAAGGCGCUGACUCGCUAGCCUGGAGGUCGGGUGUUCGAUCCAUGCAUUGGCCGAGAAAGUUCAUCCAGAUUUUCCGGCGUGGUUCCCCCUUGUCAGUGAUGCAGGACCGAGGGCCUGACAAGGACAGCUCUCUAGUCAUUCGGAUGGCACGAAAAACAGAGGUUCCGUGUACACAUUGGCGUGCACGUAAAUGAUACCUUGACAGUUGAAAUUCGAUAUAAGAGUAGGCCGUAGUGCGGGUAUCCGGGCAAAAUUUCCCUCAUAGCACACUGUAUGGCGUAUGUCCGUCUUCAUUAGCUCAAUCCGGAGCAGAACAGUAGGACGUUAAACACAUUUCAUUUCGGAUUAUUUUUGUCUAUUUUCCUUAUUUCUCAGAGACUACAUUUCGGGUUGUUGUUUUUUUUUUAUCUUCGAGUUUGAUGGAAAAGUGAGUGGUGGCUAGUGAAUAAGGCAAUUUACAAAACGUCACGGACAUCCGACCUCUAAAAAUAUAAUAUUCAAUACGUAGAAUUGUAACAGGUCGAGUUUUGAAUAUAUCGACACGUGUCACCUUCAGGCGAAUAUCAAGUUAUUAAAGCUACCCCCCCCCUUCAAAUUAGAUUCUUUCUUCAAUAAAAAGAGCACCAGUUGUUCGAUUGACACCGUCAGGCGAAUAUCAAGUUAUACAAGUUAUCUCCCCUUCAAAUUAGCGUCAAUAUAGAACACCAUUAAAGUUGUACAUUGAUUAGCAGUUGAUAUUCGCUACAAUCACUGAGAGGGAUGACAUCGGCGCGGGUUUAUUAGCUCAAAAUAUUAACUUUUUUCCUUCUAACUCAAUGUCAAAAACAAAACAAAGAAUUAGUAAACAAUUUAAUUUCUCUUUAAAACAUUGAUUUUAUUCUCUUAGAAACCUAAAUACAUGGACGUUAUAAUGUUAAUAUAUGUUGAUAUAAUAAAACGAUAAUAAUACAACGAUAAUAAUUUGUAGACCUUAGUAUUAUUAGUAUCAUUCAGCCAAAGGAAUAAAUAUAACUUGGUAUUGUUCAUUGAAACAUUCUUAUCAAUUUAUAUUUUAUAAGUAGAAGACGUUUAUAAGUUGCUAGAUAUUUUGGGCUGUUCCCACUUACCCCGCAGGCUUUGAUGUCAAAUUUUGCCGCUAAUCCAGAGUUAAUCCUAGAACAAUGGUGUUAUAAACUAUAGUCCAUAUCUUUUUUAAGACUAAAACUGUAUUGAUUUUAACAAAUUUAACUGUUAUUAAAUAACAUUAAAUAGCUUACACAUAUAAAAAUAUAUUGAUUUUAACAAAUUUAAUAUUUAUUAAAUAACAUUAAAUGAUUUACACAUAUAAAAAUGCAUUACAAUUUACACAUUUAACUUUUAUUAAAUAGCAUUAUAUAAUUUAUAAAUAAAUGCCUUACAACAUAACAAUCAUUUUACAGCCCCACUAAAUAGGAAAUAUUUGUUCCAUACCGAUUUACACUUAAAGAGCAAUUUAAUAACUGUGUUUUCAAAUGUUCAAUUCUUGUAUCAAGUUGUCGAUAUUUCUUAACUCGAGGCCUAUUUAUAUUAAUAUAGUGAAUUGAAUUCAUGUUUGAAAUCAUAACGCCGGCAUGAACUGUGUUCAAAAUGUCAUUAAUUAGUUGGUUAAUAAAUUUUAUUAAGAGGGAUUAAGGGCUCAUUAACGCUGAACACUAGUGAACAGUUCUUGAGUGACUACUUUUAAACAGACUAUAGUUUUAAGAUCAAUCAAAGGAUUAACAGUCUGCCGGCUAAGUGGGAACACACCGAUAUUUUAUCUAAUUCGUUUGUAUUGUUGAUGCAAUAAAAUAUGUCUAAAGGGAACACCUCACUUUCCCCACAUCUAUUGUUUUGUGCCUGGGUCAUUUAAAAUGAUUUAAAUAAUAUUAGUGAAAAAGAUUACAUGUAAAAAAUACAUAUAAUAUGGAUUCUUACAUUAUAGCGUUUCCAGUAUAAAUAUUUAUAAGUAUUAGCAAUGUAUCAAAAGUUAACCAGAGCGUUCGCCAUUUUGGAAUGACUAUUUGUGAUUCAGGGGAGCUAUAAUAUAUAUCAACUGAUAAACUGUGAUUAAAUAUCA